rnacentral:rRNA from 1 species
AGAGAAUAGAUACCCUGGUAGUCCCAGCUGUAAACGAUGCAGACUCGGUGAUGAAAUUGGCUUAUUGCUAAAUUCAGUGCCGCAGGGAAGCCGUUAAGUUUGCCGCCUGGGGAGUACGGUCGCAAGACUGAAACUUAAAGGAAUUGGCGGGGAGCACCACAAGGGGUGAAAGCCUGCGGUUCAAUUGGAGUCAACGCCGGAAAUCUUACCGGGGGCGACAGCAGAGUGAAGGUCAAGCUGAAGACUUUACCAGACAAGCUGAGAGGAGGUGCAUGGCCGUCGCCAGCUCGUGCCGUGAGGUGUCCUGUUAAGUCAGGUAACGAGCGAGAUCCCUGCCUCUAGUUGCUACCAUUAUUCUCAGGAGUAGUGGAGCUAAUUAGAGGGACCGCCGUCGCUGAGACGGAGGAAGGUGGGGGCUACGGCAGGUCAGUAUGCCCCGAAACCCUCGGGCCACACGCGGGCUGCAAUGGUAAGGACAAUGAGUUUCGAUUCCGAAAGGAGGAGGCAAUCUCUAAA